GAUGAACGCUGGCGGCGUGCCUAAUACAUGCAAGUCGAGCGAACAGACGAGGAGCUUGCUCCUCUAACGUUAGCGGCGGACGGGUGAGUAACACGUGGAUAACCUACCUAUAAGACUGGGAUAACUUCGGGAAACCGGAGCUAAUACCGGAUAAUAUAUUGAACCGCAUGGUUCAAUAGUGAAAGACGGUUUUGCUGUCACUUAUAGAUGGAUCCGCGCCGCAUUAGCAAGUUGGUAAGGUAACAGCUUACCAAGGCAACGAUGCGUAGCCGACCUGAAAGGGUGAUCGGCCACACUGGAACUGAGACACGGUCCAGACUCCUACGGGAGGCAGCAGUAGGGAAUCUUCCGCAAUGGGCGAAAGCCUGACGGAGCAACGCCGCGUGAGUGGUGAAGGUCUUCGGAUCGUAAAACUCUGUUAUUAGGGAAGAACAAAUGUGUAAGUAACUAUGCACGUCUUGACGGUACCUAAUCAGAAAGCCACGGCUAACUACGUGCCAGCCGCCGCAGUAA
rnacentral:rRNA from 1 species